GAAAGGCAAAUUCGAGCAAGUCGGUUACGUGGGAGGGUAAAUUUCACAGCGCGCGCGGUUGCUCAGCGGUGGCUCCUGCUCCGUCAACUGAACUCCCGCCUUCUGCUUUAAAAGCAGGGAUGGUUGUUUUUCCCUCACCGUCGACCGGUCAUGACAGCCACUCCUCCAAGGUCGGACGCACGUAAUGUUGCCGCUCCCUUACCCUUGUUGCGAUAGCGAGUCAAGCAAAACGUGUUGUAGCUCUGGAGAAGCACAGUGGCUCGCCGACGACCGCAGCCAGUCCUUUAUGUUGGUUCUUUCGGUUCGGGUGGCGGUGCCUAGCGUGCGACCGUUCGCGUGAGCCGCAGUACGUUUGAGGCCCAAGACCAGAUUUAGCAAUUGUUUUUAGAUAUCCUAAUAUGCGAAGCAUAGUUGCAAGAGAAAGCUGCGAUUAGGCCCUUUUCUUUAGUUUCUACAAGGAUUCCUACUCGGCCCUCAAUUUGUCCGAGGACAGUGGCUUAUCUUCAGCAGGUCGGUACAGCGUGAGCUUCAAUGACGCCGCGUACUCAACUCGCCAACAUCGCCUUCCUAUUCCUGGUCUUGGCAACCAUGCACAGAGCAUCCGCUUUGGGUAUCUGCAAGCCCAAUCCACAGUCGCGCGACUUGGGUGACCGCGCAAGUUGCCCGUUCACGAUGACCCCGGACGUGGACCCCACCCGGAUCCCUGCCGCGAUGCCCGUCACCAAGUGCAACUGCCCGGAAAGUCGCUGUAGCGACGUGGGCGACUACCGCUGUCACGAGGUGAGAAGCACGUUCCGGCUGGCGUACCGCGUCGACGGCAACUCGUCGGAACUGACCCACAAGACGGUGCAACUGACAACGUCGUGCGUCUGCGUCGCCUACAGGUCCGCCGGAGGGUUGUGGGGAGGCAAGCGAACCGCAGGCUAACGCUAAGUGCCCUCCUUGGCGGCGGCUCCUGGCGAUUUGGCAUAUCCCGGAGCUCUCCUGCGCCUGCAGGAGUGCCUCGAUUGGUAACCUCAACUCACCUGGUAACCAACGCUGGUCAUCGACGCUGAUACAGAUGCUGCGUAGCCAGUCGGCCUCAUUCGUAGGAAGGUGUGAGACCGGGGUAGUUGGUAUUGCAUGUCGAAGGGACUAGAAGAGUGGACAUUGUACACAAAGGCGAAUAGGACGAACGCUUGUCCUUGUGGCUUUUUUAGUAUCCAGUGUUCACUCUUGCGCUAGUCACUUGCCCAUUUGCGGAGUGGUUUAAAAAAGCGCUGUGCUCCCUGAUUUGCAGCAGCAGGUGCGGCCAAGAGAGCCGCUGAUCAAGCGACAGUCCGUUUAUCUGCAGGUGGUACCUGACUUUAUUUCAAUUUUGCUUCGUUUUUCUUUGGGUUUCUUUUUUUUCUUUUUUUGUGUCUUGUCACUAAUGCUGCUGCUACUCAGCUAUUAGCAAUGCGGGCCAAUAUCGGAGUGCAUUGACGGUUUCCUGGCGACGUCGAACGUCCAGAAAAGUCAAGUGUCCCGGCCCUAUGUUUAACGCUAGUUUCCGCAUCUCCAUUAUUAAUUUUAUAUAUUCGCUUCAGUGAAAGAUGAGACCCACGUUUUCCAGGAUAGAUCUCGCUCUGCAAAAAGGCUUAGUUUUUAUUCAAGUGACACAUGCGAUGCAUGGGAAACGCGACCUUGCCCCCUUUCAGCCAACGAAAUCGUCACAAACCAAAAAUUAGACACUAGCAAAAAGACGGCGAAACGAACGCUAUACUUAAAGGUCAGCAAUGCCCCGAUAGAGAGAAUUAACCGUUUCCAAAGAAAAUAAGAUUGUGCUGCCAUUACCAAGCACAGUGUAGAAGUAAAUGCCUGCUUUGUUUCUCAUUGGGGACUCAUCGACUGUACUCGCCACACAUUCGGAAUUUCCAUCGAAAAGCUCAUAAUGUCACGCUUUGUUUCCUAAUAAGACAAAAACACAAACAAGUUUGUUCGAAAAACGCUCAGGGCGGAAAUUGGAAAGUCCCAAACUGGAUACUCUAGGCAUACGCGUGAGCCAAUGGGUCUCCUGAAACCCAAAGGCGCAAUGAAACCUGUAGUCCCCUCAUGUGAUGUGUCGCGAUCACGGCACUAGCACUAGCUAGUGCCGUCCUAGUGCCGUGCUAGUGCUAGUGCCGUGCUAGUGCUAGUGCCGUGCUAGUGCACUAGCACUAGCACUGCUGCCUUUUUGUUACCGGAGUAACAAAAAGGCAGCAGCAACCACAUGACCACGGUUCUCACUCGUCGCCGGGGCAGAGCGAGCGCGCGCACGUUGGCACCCGAAAUAUGGCGAACUAUGCCAGGGUCAGGCAGAUCCCGCUGCGGAUGAGGCGAUAAGUAUGUGAAAUACUCAUUUACAGUCUACUAUAAACUGCCGUAUUGAAACGCUCCUGCCUAAAGAAGAAGGGAAACGAAAAGGCGGUCCUCUAUUUAUUGAGAAAUAUCAAGCUAAAGCUCGAAACGCGUGUGGCACGGUUGUGCCGUAUUGCCACUCAGCCAAACCAGCGCAUCGAAGCAUAACUGUGGCUCUCGUCUUCCGUUCUCCUUUGUUUACCUUCUCGGUAUUCGUGAUUCUCCUUUCACCUGUCGAUCUCAGGUAUUCCUUAUCUAAUGAAGAUUGUGCUGUCUCUCGCUUCAUUUGUACAAGCGUUCGACACAAUCACGACAGUUUCUGCAACUUCACGAACUCUCUUUCUCGUUCCGCAAACUACGGGUCUCAAAGAUAUGUACUUUUCUAUGUUGGAGCUGGGGAGUGUAAAUCUUAUGUAUCGUGUAUUGACGAUGUGCAUGGCCAGUAUGACUUUACUUCUCAUCAUUCCAUCCGGAUAACCAUCAGCAAUACUCUUUCAGUUUUAUUAGAGAUUUCCUCGACCUCCCCUGUGAUAUUUAAGUGCGUGAAAGUUAACCAUCGCAUUUUAGAGAGACAAAUUCAUACUUUCUGCAGCUGUGAGCAACUGAACUGAACCUAUUCGAAUUUAAGAGCUAGAGGUGGUAAAAGAAUUGAGCUCACUUCUUAUAAACGCAGUUUGUCGCAAAAGACAAGUCCGCAUAAAAUGAUGAGACAUAUUUCAUGUCUCCGUCCACAUGUCGAAACAUUACUAGAUUCUGAUUUCUUGAUUAAGAGUUUCUUUGUCUACAUGACUUAAACAAAUGAAAUGAUUUCGACAGGAACAAUAAACUUCUCAUUUAUUCACAGUCGCAUCAGCUGUGGCCUAGAUAUUUUGCGGUAACCCAUAUCACUGUCACAUAUUCUCUGCUCAAGACAUGCAAGAUCACGCUCUGUAUAUUACUAGAAGUUUUGGUUCGAAAUGUAACAUGAAUACUAUGUCACAGAAAAUAAAACUUUGUCGGUGAAUAAUUGGUUUCCUCUUACCAUAGCUAUCAUGAUCUAGACGCUAGCAGUGAACUCUCAUAGAAGUUUUUCGACCUUAAUGUUUAAAAAACCCGCUCGGUAAGGCUCGAAAGAAUAAUUUCCUGCUGCCCUCAUCUCAUGCUAUCUAUGGUAAAAUGACAUCUUUCUUUCCCACUGUUAGUUUGUUCGUAUAAUACAGCGUAUGUACGCUACUGUAGCUUCUAUGGACGUUGGGAUCUCCUCAUGCAAACACGUAUAUCUGUAACCUAUGUGAUCUUAAGUAAAUAAAGAUUUACUUUAUUUCAUGAGUA